UGAUAAAGACGAGGGCUUCAUUAUUCGUUUCCAGGUUGAAACUGAAUUUGAAGAACAAUGGGCAGAUGUUAGGUGGAAGAAUGGUUAAAUAUGAUUCAAGACAUUGAACAUGUUCAAGAUCAGCAGACUGUUAUUGAUCUUUGCUAUUUGAGCACAGUGGAAGAACCGGUGGAUUUGGUUCCUGCAAAACUAAAGGAGGUCAUGGAGCAAGCCACUGAUGCAGAGAAAGCAACGGCUGUGUCUGAGUUUCGUGAUUUCAAGUGCAGGAACAACUUAUUCUUUCAUCAUAUCUGUUAUGAUUAGAAAAUCUGCUUGCGGCAUCGCGCGGGUU